rnacentral:misc_RNA from 1 species
AUAAUCUUUACCAUCAUCCGGUAGAUUUGGCUGCUCGGCCUUUUGGUCGUCGGCUUAAAUGGAGUAAGCUAUGGGCUAGGCAAGGCGCCUAGACAUUGUGUGAUAGAGGCACCUCGUGUCUACUCACAAUGCGUCUGGGCGAUCAACCUGCUUGGUUCCGGCUUGACAGGCUUCGGCCACCUUCUGAA